GGAAAAGAAAAAAAGUUGAGUAAUCUUUGAUCCUGCUUUCAGCAAACCUCUGCUGUACAAGUGAACAGGAGAUCAAACGUGAACAGAUUUUUGUGCUGUACUCUGCUAUAGGAAUCCAAUAUUCCAAGAAUCCAAUGCUGCCUCAAAGCACUUCGUAAACUGCAAAGAAAAAAAGUGAAACUGCUGUCUUCAGUAAGAUUAGGAUUUUUUUUUUAGUCUUGAACCAUAAACCCAGAAAUCUAGCACCCAUUUGCAAGACCUUCUAGGAACUUCAGUAGACCUCAAGAAAAUUGUCCAGUAAUUCAAGACAAUUAACUCUUUGGAACAGAAUUACAGAAGAGUUGUGGCUGGAAGAGACAUCUGAAGGUCAUCUUGUCCAACCCCUUGCUCCAACCAUAUCCAGAUAACUUUUACAUAUCCCCAAGGAUGAAGACUCUGCAGCCUCCCUGGCAGCCUGUGCUAAUGUUCAUUUACCUUCACGCGGAGAACCUAAACCUAUUUCUUAGUGCCCAUUUGCAAAGUGAAAUCUAGAAGUGGUGUUUGAAAUCUACGGGUAUGGAAGUUUUGAACAUACCACCAGUGGGAAACCAUAUUUCGUUCUUGUACUGAUCUCUUGAGAUAGGAAAAUUUCAGUAAUUCACUUUCUGUAAUCUGUUGUAUACAAUGUGUUGUUUGCGGUUCCCAUGAGGUCCAGGAGGAAGAAAAAACCAACCUUACGCCUUGACACACUUUGAUCAAGACCAAUGGUUUGGAGCCUUUGUCUACCUCUUUAAAGAUCACAGUGGGCCAUGCAGGUAGCACCCUUGGGGGUACAGAUGUGGAGAUGAUAAGGCCCAGCAACAGCCGGAAUUAGUCUGGAAGGAGGAAAAGUUGACAGCAACCUUCAAGAUAGGUUGGAA